UUAUUUUCACAUGAGAAAGAAUGAGGGGCCCCUACACCAAUGCAUAUGUUGCAGCACUUUCAUGAUGUGUUGGUAGAAUGUGAGCUGGAAGGUAUGGGAUUCUUUGGCGACCAAUUCACAUGGCGUAAGAGGAGGUUGAGAGAGAGUCUAGACAGAGGUGUAUGUAACGGGGAUCUCCAUGGAUUGUUCCCAAAUGCAAAGCUAAUAAAUGUUGAACACAGUAAAUCAGAUCACAUGCCGAUCGUUCUUCAUAUUGAAGGUGAUAUAGGUGAAGUGUGUGCUGCUAGGGGAGAAAAAUGCUUUGAGGAUUGGUGGUUGAAGGGACAUAAUGGUUACACGCGCUUGGGAGAGGACAUCUAG
rnacentral:rRNA from 1 species